UACGUAGGGGGCAAGCGUUGUUCGGAAUUACUGGGCGUAAAGCGCGCGCAGGCGGUGUUUUAAGUCUGAUGUGAAAGCCCACGGCUCAACCCUGGAGGGUCAUUGGAAACUGGGUCACUUGAGUGCAGGAGAGGGGAGUGGAAUUCCACGUGUAGCGGUGAAAUGCGUAGAUAUGUGGAGGAACACCAGUGGCGAAGGCGACUCUCUGGCCUGUAACUGACGCUGAGGCGCGAAAGCGUGGGGAUCAAACAGG
rnacentral:rRNA from 1 species